rnacentral:lncRNA from 1 species
AACCGCAGCCAGUGCCUAGCGCAAGGUUAGGUGCAUGCAGGCGGCCAGCUUCGGCCGGGGAAGGAAUGGCCUGGAUAACUGGGGCAUCGCGGCGCUCCUCGGCCUCCUGCAGCUGCGUUUCAAAGCAGAGCCGACCCUUGAUCACCAUCUUUGACAAGCUAUACCUACUAAAAGAUGUGAAGCAGACACCUACAUUCCAUGACUCAACUGUAAAGAGAACACAAAGCUC